rnacentral:rRNA from 1 species
AACGAACGCUGGCGGCAUGCCUAACACAUGCAAGUCGAACGAGACCUUCGGGUCUAGUGGCGCACGGGUGCGUAACGCGUGGGAACCUGCCCUUAGGUUCGGAAUAACUCCCCGAAAGGGGUGCUAAUACCGGAUAAUGUCUUCGGACCAAAGAUUUAUCGCCUUUGGAUGGGCCCGCGUUGGAUUAGCUAGUUGGUAGGGUAAAAGCCUACCAAGGCGACGAUCCAUAGCUGGUCUGAGAGGAUGAUCAGCCACACUGGGACUGAGACACGGCCCAGACUACUACGGGAGGCAGCAGUGGGGAAUAUUGGACAAUGGGCGAAAGCCUGAUCCAGCAAGGCCGCGUGAGUGAUGAAGGCCUUAGGGUUGUAAAGCUCUUUUACCCGGGAUGAUAAUGACAGUACCGGGAGAAUAAGCUCCGGCUAACUCCGUG